GUACUUACCUGGAUGGGGUCAAUGGAUGAUCAAAAUGGCCCAUGGCCUAGGUUAGUGAUCUCCAUUGCACUUAGGAGGGGUGCUAUCCUAAGGUCGGCCCAAGUGGUCGAACCUACAUCAUAAUUUGUGGUAGUGGAGGCAUGCGUUCGCGCAGCCUCUGC